rnacentral:lncRNA from 1 species
CUAAAUUCUUAAACUUGAUUCAAUACAUCGCCAAUGACCUGCAAAAAUAUUUCUUGUCACCACCUCUUAUAAAUCUGCAAAUAAAAAAAAAUAAAAUUAGUUUUUCAACAUUCGUUGAUCCUUGAAUUGAUAAUGCAAACAAUAUAAAAAUAAAGAGGCCAAGUACAUAGAUAACAAUGUUGGCUAUGAACUAUAUAACAGACAGAAACCGACAUUAAUGCAGUUCAUAUAACCAAAUAUCGAGCAUUAAGAGUAACAAAGAAACUGAGUAACUUUGAGAUUUCAUUUUCCCUAAUAAGUAUAUGAAACUCAAGNAGGGGGAAGAGAGAGAGGGCCCUCUAUGUUGAGGAGGAAAUGUGAGACUACUCUCUAUACUGAGGAGUAGAAACAGGGGAAAAGUCUAUGACACUACAAUAGUCCCAUAGUCGGAUCGUUAAUCAGCAGCGAGUAGCGGUGCAGGAUAUCAACACUACAACAGGUAUAAGAUUUAGUGGCGACAAAUGUCGCCACCAUAGCCAGAAUUGUCGCCACCAAAAAUGUUUUGGCGGCGACAAUCUGUCGUCGCAUGCCGCCGCCUAAAACCCUGUCGGUAAAACUAUUUAACGGCGACAAUGUGUCGCCGCUAAAAGUUAGAUAAUUCGCGGCGACAUUGCCUACUGUCGCCGCGAAAACUUUACAGCAUAUUUUAUCACUAGUUUUAUGGUGGCGACUAUCGUCGCCACCAUUUUUCUGAUAUAAAAUUAAUUUUUUUAAAAAAAUAAUUGAUAGUAAUAGAUAUUAUUGAUUUAGUAUAAAAUGCUAAAAAAUAACCUAUACUUAUAAAAUUUUUUAUUUUUAAAUUUUAACCUUUAAUUUUAAUCUAAUCCUCUCAAAACCAAAUAAAAUUUAGGACAAAGAAAGCCAAUUCUCAUAAAUAUGACAGAAAGCUUUCGAAACAAACCAAGAUCAACAAGCAGAAAUCUUACAUUUUGCAUUGAAUUGUCUCUCACAACAGAAAGAAGUUUAGGACAAUAUAUAAGUAAGACUGAAUCAUCAUAUAUAAGUAAUACAAUCAUUCAACACAACCAAAAAAUAAAACACAAUAAUAAUAUUUUUGUCAUUUCCACAUGCUAUCAAAGUUUUCAAAAUAUAUCUAAAUUCUUAAACUUGAUUCAAUACAUCGCCAAUGACCUGCCAAAAUAUUUCUUGUCACCACCUCUUAUAAAUCUGCAAAUAAAAAAAAAUAAAAUUAGUUUUUCAACAUUCGUUGAUCCUUGAAUUUAUGCAAACAAUAUAAGAAUAAAGAGGCCAAGUACAUAUAUAACAAUGUUGGCUAUGAACUAUAUAACAGACAGAAACCGACAUUAAUUUAGUUCAUAUAACCAAAUAUCGAGCAUUAAGAGUAACAAAGAAACUGAGUAACUUUGAGAUUU